rnacentral:lncRNA from 1 species
CAUUGACCUUUGGAACUCGUGGGAGACAAGUGUCCAGAAAAUCUGAAAGGCAGAAUAACAGGGACAUUCCAUCUCGAGACUGCGGACACACCACCUCGAACUUGGCUACUUGAACUUCAUCUGGUCGGAAAACAUCAAGAAAAGAGAAUUCAUCGAGUAAAGUCGGUGCAGAAGAAUUUCGAGCCCCAGCUUCUUUAAUUUAUCAAAAUCUUCCGUGAAUCAUGAACUCUUGCGUUGUCAUAUAAGACCAUUCUGAUUUACCAACGCACAUUUUGAUGAACUGUGCGGUUUUCGAAGACCAUUUUCGUUUUUUACAUAAAAUAUCUAUCUAAUAAAUAUACCUAUUAUAUUUGUAUUAACUCAAUACCAAAGUAGUAAGACGUACUUUCUGUCUAUAUAUUUUUUAUUGUUAAAUAUUACGUUUUUGGUCUACAAUGAUUUUCACCUUGAAUUCUACCUCUUUCACGGUCAGAGUCAACAUGGAAAGGCACUUUAACUCAUUUUAAAUACACUGAAAGGUAUGUGCGAUGCUUUACAAACUUUUCGGACCUGUAAACAAACACAGGUUCUUCCAUGAUGCUCUUUAACAUCUUUAAAGACAAAAUCAUCCAAUCUCAAAUUUAAUUAUUGCAUUUAUCCAAAUAAUAGGUAUUUUAAAAUAAAGAUUUAAUCGUUGUUGUUACGAUCGAAUUGUGAUUUAAUCUAUUUACAACUAUUCAAAACUAAUCAAAUAAAAAUUCGAUAAGAUAAAAUAGCUUAAAAUCUAUAUCAUUGCUACACUGAACUUGUGUAUAUUUGUGUUAAGUGCAAACAGUUUGUUAGAAUUAAAAUUGAUUGUCCAAGAAAAUAAAUUGUUUUUAUUGAAUGGAGAUAGGAAUUUACCAUGAUCCUUUCUGCAGAAAACUCCGCAAUGUCCUAUAAUACUCAACUCUGUAAAACAGGGAGCAGAAUAUUGUAACUACACAGAUAGAGGAAAAAUAACUAUUUUGUGCUUAGUGGCCGUUAAUCAGGUUAAAGUGUAAGCUCAAAUAUAUUUGGUAGGUAUUUUGUUGUUUUGGCAUAAAAUCUUGUUUCUCUGUACGGGAAACGUGAUACGACGUAUACGUACAAAGAACCUUAUCAAUGUUUGGCAUGUUUUGCCUUGCUAUCAAAAAGAUCAGUUUUUUGAGCCAUUGAAGAAUGGAAGGAUUGUUGUACCGCCUGGACUUUUGCGAUAAUACAUUUACUCUCGACGUCUGAAUGUUAUCAUGACUGAAAAAUACGCGGAUACAAGUCCUUAAUAAAAUACAAACUUAUAAAAUAUAAUUUUAGUUUCGUUCAUUGUAUACCGUCAAUAAUAAUUUAACUUUGGGAAACAUUUAGUGAUUUGAUUAUUUCUAAAUUGACCCUUAUGUGAAAAUAACAUUUUUUUAACCAGAAUGUGGAUAUACAGUCUUAGAAAAUAAAUAAAUAAAACAAUUAUUCUGUUGAAAUUAUAAGUAAACAGAUUGAAUUUGUAAUUUUUGGAACCCAUACUCUUGGAGUAUGUUGGAAGAAGAUUAAUCUGUAAAUAAUAAUAUAGAGUGGAAUUUGUGGAAUUAGGACGUUUAAAAGCUUGUUAAAAUAUUUUUCUUAAAACGAUUGU